rnacentral:rRNA from 1 species
CCUACGGGUGGCAGCAGUAGGGAAUAUUGGACAAUGGGCGAAAGCCUGAUCCAGCCAUGCCGCGUGGUAGAUGAAGGCCCUCUGGGUUGUAAAUACCUUUUAUCUGGGAAGAAAUAUCUCGUUCUCGAGAAACUGACGGUACCAGAUGAAUAAGCACCGGCUAACUCCGUGCCAGCAGCCGCGGUAAUACGGAGGGUGCAAGCGUUAUCCGGGUUUACUGGGUUUAAAGGCGGGGUUAUAAGGAUGUGGUGAAGGCCCCGGGCUUAACUUGGGAAUUGCCAUUGAUACUGUUUGUCUUGAAUACGAUUGAGGUAAGCGGAAUGUUGCAUGUAGCGGUGAAAUGCUUAGAUAUGUUACAGAACACCAAUUGCGAAGGCAGCUUACUAAGUCGUCAUUGACGCUGAGGCACGAAAGCGUGGGGAGCAAACAGGAUUAGAUACCCGAGUAGUC